GUAACGGUUUGGCUCGUCUGAUGCAGUCGAGCGGAAACGACACUAACAAUCCUUCGGGUGCGUUAAUGGGCGUCGAGCGGCGGACGGGUGAGUAAUGCCUAGGAAAUUGCCUUGAUGUGGGGGAUAACCAUUGGAAACGAUGGCUAAUACCGCAUAAUGCCUACGGGCCAAAGAGGGGGACCUUCGGGCCUCUCGCGUCAAGAUAUGCCUAGGUGGGAUUAGCUAGUUGGUGAGGUAAUGGCUCACCAAGGCGACGAUCCCUAGCUGGUCUGAGAGGAUGAUCAGCCACACUGGAACUGAGACACGGUCCAGACUCCUACGGGAGGCAGCAGUGGGGAAUAUUGCACAAUGGGCGAAAGCCUGAUGCAGCCAUGCCGCGUGUAUGAAGAAGGCCUUCGGGUUGUAAAGUACUUUCAGUUGUGAGGAAGGGGGUGUAGUUAAUAGCUGCAUCUCUUGACGUUAGCAACAGAAGAAGCACCGGCUAACUCCGUGCCAGCAGCCGCGGUAAUACGGAGGGUGCGAGCGUUAAUCGGAAUUACUGGGCGUAAAGCGCAUGCAGGUGGUUCAUUAAGUCAGAUGUGAAAGCCCGGGGCUCAACCUCGGAACUGCAUUUGAAACUGGUGAACUAGAGUACUGUAGAGGGGGGUAGAAUUUCAGGUGUAGCGGUGAAAU
rnacentral:rRNA from 1 species